GUGCCUGUGGCUCAAAGGAGUAGGGCACUGGCCCCAUAUGCCAGAGGUGGUGGGUUCAAGCCCAGCCAGGGCUA
rfam:Otolemur garnettii contig013721, whole genome shotgun sequence.